rnacentral:rRNA from 1 species
AUAGCGUAUAUUAAAGUUGCUGCAGUUAAAAAGCUCGUAGUUGAAUUUCGGGACCAUCAUGUCGGUCGUGCCUCGGUACGUACUGGCAUUGUUAGUUUCUACCUUCUGACGAACCAUGAUGACAUUUAUUUGGUGUUGUGGGAAAUCAGGACUGUUACUUUGAAAAAAUUAGAGUGUUUAAAGCAGGCUCACGCUUGAAUACAUUAGCAUGGAAUAAUGAAAUAGGACGUUUGAUUCUAUUUUUUUGGUUUCUAGGAUUGACGUAAUGAUUAAUAGGGAUAGUUGGGGGCAUUAGUAUUCAAUUGUCAGAGGUGAAAUUCUUGGAUUUAUUGAAGACUAACUACUG